CUUGACAAGGUGAUGGCUUUUGGAGGAUGGAGGUUCUCAAUAUCUGUGUGCUGUACCAGAUACCGUGGCUUCUGUCAAUCACUUCUGUCCCUGAUUAUAAAGUGCUGUGUUCAAGCCUUGAUGUAAAGGAAUACUCCAGAACUGUCUCACUACAAUGUGUUUCCUGUCUGGAGUCUUGCUCUGGUUCAGGUAACUUCAGGACAUGCUAAAUUUCAAUGAUUCCAACCUGCUGGAUGUCCAGAAACUGCAGCUGUGAUAAACGUUCCUUUAUAGGUUUUCAGAGAUGUCACAUUUGGCACAGAAGUCCCUUAACCACAAGUUAUUGGUGGCUGUAUUUCACUUGGACAUACUACCCAUCUCCUCUCUGCAGACUGAUCACUAACUUGUUGAAAUAUCUGUUGCUGAUGUACGCUCCAUUAUUUGUGACAGCUUCACAUCUCUCCUACAAGCAUGCAGCAUGGGCCUUUCCUGGAGCUGGAGCUAGACCUCUGAUCUGAAGGACCAUGGUGCAUUCCCUUUUGACAGCUCUGUGUGAUGCUUUUGGGAAAGUGCUGGGGCAAGGGGAUAUAUGAGUGGGAAGAUAAGCACACUUGAGUGGAUGAGCUGUUUCCUGUGACUGACUGCAGGGGAAGCUGCACCGGAGGAAAGAUAGAUCCAUUAUUCUGCAGCAUCCCUGGUUCCCAACAUGUUUCACUGAGGGGCUGGCACUGGAGCUGACAGCACAAAGCACCUUCCACUGGCGGGACCUGGGAGCUUGCUCCAACACUGACCGCUCUUAAAUAUCCCCAUCAUGAGGGGUCCAGCACCACACAGCCACUCCACAUUCCUGGAACCUUGCAACAGGAGUCCAGAAACACCAGUGCAUGUGAAUAACUGCAUUACAGGCUAUUUCAAUUCAAGCAAUAGAAUUGCUGAAGAUGGGGGCAGCAAGUUUCCUGGGAGCUGGGCAAGGUGUUCCCAAUAGGCCAUGAUGUGAUGCAGCAUUUUUUUUGCCAGUAUGGGGCACUGAAGCUAAGGAAAGAGCAACCUUUCUUGUGCUAUUUUUGGCCAUCUUAGAGAGAAAGAAGUCUAAUCAUGGCCCCUGGCUUGUCAUCUUUUCAUGAAAGCAGCAUAAGCCAGAGCUCCCAGCAAGCCUCAUAAAACUCCGGAUUUACAGGGGACCUUUCAUCUACAUCCAUUUAAAAUGUUCCCUGCCAGGCAACUGACUAUGGACGGAAAUCAUCAUUUGAAAAGAUCUUACUUUAAG